UAGGGAAUCUUCGGCAAUGGGGGCAACCCUGACCGAGCAACGCCGCGUGAGUGAGGAAGGUUUUCGGAUCGUAAAGCUCUGUUGUAAGAGAAGAACGUGUGUGAGAGUGGAAAGUUCACACAGUGACGGUAACUUACCAGAAAGGGACGGCUAACUACGUGCCGG
rnacentral:rRNA from 1 species